rnacentral:rRNA from 1 species
UACAGAGGUCUCAAGCGUUGUUCGGAAUUACUGGGCGUAAAGGGCGCGUAGGCGGCCUGUUAAGUCGGACGUGAAAUCCCUCGGCUCAACCGGGGAACUGCGUCCGAAACUGGCGGGCUUGAAUUCGGGAGAGGGAUGUGGAAUUCCAGGUGUAGCGGUGAAAUGCGUAGAUAUCUGGAGGAACACCGGUGGCGAAGGCGGCAUCCUGGACCGACAUUGACGCUGAGGCGCGAAAGCUAGGGGAGCAAACGGG